CUUUAUUACAGGUCUUUAUUUAUUUCAUAUUGAAGACUGAGCAAGGAGAAGACAGCCAGGGUGGAAGAUUUUCCUGAGAUGGUGUUCAGAGGUUUCAUCCACCGGCGUGUUUGAGGAAACCAGUCGUUACAGGGUGAGAGGCGGGGCCAUCAGUCUAUCUCAUGGCCAACACAUAAAUUACAAACACGCUUUCAUACCAAGGGCCACUUUAGAGUCACCAGUACACCCCGUGCAUGUCUUUGGACCGUGGGAGGAAGCCGGGUAACCCUGAGAGAUCCCGCAGGCACGUGAAGAACAUGCAAACUCUACGCAGAGAGGCCUCGACUGGAUUCAAACCUUCCUGCUGUGGACGACGGCGACCGCAUCGCUGUGCCGCCCUGUCAGGCUCCUAAAAGUGCAAAAACAUGACACAUUCUCCCGACUCUAAGAGUCAUUCUCUGGAAUUGGAUGCAUGAAUCAGUCUCAUACCACGUUCAUUCAUACUUCCACACACUCACCGUUGGCAGUAUUUGUAUCUGCUCUGCAGGUAAUUGGCAUCUCCUUUUUUUUCCAGCCCUCUUCACCUCGAUCUUCCCUGAAGCAUGCCGCCAUUUUUUAUUUUUUUUUAUUGAUACUCGAGAUGGCUGUUUUUAUUAUCGAAGCAAGCCUCCCCCUCUGAAUUCCAAUCCCAGCAGCGCUGCUCCGGUGUAAUUUAAUUUACCCUCUGUCCUUUUAUGUAUGUGGGAUGUGCCUGCAUGUUUGGGGGCAGAGCUUUAAUUGGAAAUGCAAACUUAAUUAAUUCACAGCGUUUUUAAUUGCUGCAUGGUUUAUUCAGCACGGCGGUGUGAAGAGAGCGCACGUACUGGCUGCCUCACGCCUGCAAAUAUUUGAUCACCUGGGGUGAUUGGAGAUAUUUUUUAACUGCUGGCUUCAUCAGAACUAAUCAAAAACCUCGAACCUGCUCUCUUCUCCGCUGAAGCGUCAGAUAAUCUGCAGAAUUAAACUCCCGUCUCUCAUUAAAAACACGAUUUUGAUUCAUUUUCUACAUCCUUUAAAAACAGUUUUGUCUCAUUUCACUUUGAAUUAACGUUAAAGUAUCAUGUUAGUAAAAGUGCCACGCUUUUCAAUUUUACACAUACAAGAUUUUUAUUUAUUUAUUC
ensembl:lncRNA